GCGCCUAUGGAGUAGCAGUUAACUCGUUCCCCUGUCGUGGCCGACUGGUAGGGAAAGGCCCGGGUGCAAGUCCCGGUGGGUGCU